rnacentral:rRNA from 1 species
AGUGAACGCUGGCGGUAGGCCUAACACAUGCAAGUCGAACGGCAGCACAGUAAGAGCUUGCUCUUACGGGUGGCGAGUGGCGGACGGGUGAGGAAUACAUCGGAAUCUACUUUUUCGUGGGGGAUAACGUAGGGAAACUUACGCUAAUACCGCAUACGACCUACGGGUGAAAGCAGGGGAUCUUCGGACCUUGCGCGAUUGAAUGAGCCGAUGUCGGAUUAGCUGGUUGGCGGGGUAAAGACCCACCAAGGCGACGAUCCGUAGCUGGUCUGAGAGGAUGAUCGGCCGCCCUGGAACUUAGCCACGGUCCAGGGUCCUACGGGACGCAGCAGUGGGGUAUAUUGGACAAUGGGCGCAAGCCUGAUCCAGCCAUACCGCGUGGGUGAAGAAGGCCUUCGGGUUGUAAAGCCCUUUUGUUGGGAAAGAAAAGCAGCAGGUUAAUACCCCGCUGUUCUGACGGUACCCAAAGAAUAAGCACCGGCUAACUUCGUG